rnacentral:rRNA from 1 species
AUGAACGCUAGCUACAGGCUUAACACAUGCAAGUCGAGGGGCAUCAGGAAGAAAGCUUGCUUUCUUUGCUGGCGACCGGCGCACGGGUGAGUAACACGUAUCCAACCUGCCCUUUACUCGGGGAUAGCCUUUCGAAAGAAAGAUUAAUACCCGAUGGCAUAAUGAUUCCGCAUGGUUUCAUUAUUAAAGGAUUCCGGUAAAGGAUGGGGAUGCGUUCCAUUAGGUUGUUGGUGAGGUAACGGCUCACCAAGCCUUCGAUGGAUAGGGGUUCUGAGAGGAAGGUCCCCCACAUUGGAACUGAGACACGGUCCAAACUCCUACGGGAGGCAGCAGUGAGGAAUAUUGGUCAAUGGGCGCUAGCCUGAACCAGCCAAGUAGCGUGAAGGAUGAAGGCUCUAUGGGUCGUAAACUUCUUUUAUAUAAGAAUAAAGUGCAGUAUGUAUACUGUUUUGUAUGUAUUAUAUGAAUAAGGAUCGGCUAACUCCGUGCCAGCAGCCGCGGUAAUACGGAGGAUCCGAGCGUUAUCCGGAUUUAUUGGGUUUAAAGGGAGCGUAGGUGGACUGGUAAGUCAGUUGUGAAAGUUUGCGGCUCAACCGUAAAAUUGCAGUUGAUACUGUCAGUCUUGAGUACAGUAGAGGUGGGCGGAAUUCGUGGUGUAGCGGUGAAAUGCUUAGAUAUCACGAAGAACUCCGAUUGCGAAGGCAGCUCACUGGACUGCAACUGACACUGAUGCUCGAAAGUGUGGGUAUCAAACAGGAUUAGAUACCCUGGUAGUCCACACAGUAAACGAUGAAUACUCGCUGUUUGCGAUAUACAGUAAGCGGCCAAGCGAAAGCAUUAAGUAUUCCACCUGGGGAGUACGCCGGCAACGGUGAAACUCAAAGGAAUUGACGGGGGCCCGCACAAGCGGAGGAACAUGUGGUUUAAUUCGAUGAUACGCGAGGAACCUUACCCGGGCUUAAAUUGCAGUGGAAUGAUGUGGAAACAUGUCAGUGAGCAAUCACCGCUGUGAAGGUGCUGCAUGGUUGUCGUCAGCUCGUGCCGUGAGGUGUCGGCUUAAGUGCCAUAACGAGCGCAACCCUUAUCUUCAGUUACUAACAGGUUAUGCUGAGGACUCUGGAGAGACUGCCGUCGUAAGAUGUGAGGAAGGUGGGGAUGACGUCAAAUCAGCACGGCCCUUACGUCCGGGGCUACACACGUGUUACAAUGGGGGGUACAGAAGGCAGCUAGCGGGUGACCGUAUGCUAAUCCCGAAAGCCUCUCUCAGUUCGGAUCGAAGUCUGCAACCCGACUUCGUGAAGCUGGAUUCGCUAGUAAUCGCGCAUCAGCCACGGCGCGGUGAAUACGUUCCCGGGCCUUGUACACACCGCCCGUCAAGCCAUGGGAGCCGGGGGUACCUGAAGUACGUAACCGCAAGGAUCGUCCUAGGGUAAAACUGGUGACUGGGGCU